UACGGGGGGGGCAAGCGUUGUUCGGAAUUACUGGGCGUAAAGGGCUCGUAGGUGGCCAACUAAGUCGGACGUGAAAUCCCUCAGCUUAACUGGGGAACUGCGUCCGAUACUGGAUGGCUCGAGUUUGGGAGAGGGAUGCGGAAUUCCAGGUGUAGCGGUGAAAUGCGCAGAGAUCGGGAGGAACACCAAUGGCGAAAGCAGGUAACUGGACUAUUACUGACACUCAGCUGCGAAAGCUAGGGGAGCAAACAGG
rnacentral:rRNA from 1 species